rnacentral:lncRNA from 1 species
AAGGCGAUUAACAUUUCAAACACGGUGACUGUUUCUUACGUGGACGACGUUGUGUUGAACAUGGGAUCUACACAUUAAGAAACAAAGACAUGAACGUCUCCAUGGAAAGACUGGGAAAAUGGAUUGCAGGUUCUAGCAGGAUGUCAUAAUAAAUGGUGCAUAUCCAGAGUGCAAGAUGAUUCAGUCUCACCAAGAACACUGAAAGUCACAUGGCUACCAGCAUUAUUGUGAUAAGAACUACUAUUUUGGGAGAUAGUUUAGCAAAGGUGCCAUGUAGAAAUUGAUUAAGUCAGAGGUAUCUUUAACUUGCCACCACAGAGAAGAGAUUAAUUUCAUAUACUUCCAUUGAGAAGAGAGAUAAGAAUACAAAACCAAGCUGAUUUGCAGGAGUAAACUUGAUAUUCAAAUACUAUUUCCUGAAUGACAUUUUCUGAGACAUGCUAAUUGUAAUUACUUUCAGCUUCAAAACAUAAUAAAUUUAUCUCAUAGUAAGCAUAUAGAUGGAAUAAAUAAAAUGUGAACUUAGGUAAAUUAUAAAUUAAUAAAGUAUAUUUUUAAAAUUUC